GAGGAGUAGCAGGUCGGGUGGAGGCUGAGCAAUAAAGAAAUGAUUUGAUGAAACGGCCACUUGACAGGUGACUCGCGUCGCAUCCUCGCAUACACCAGUUAAUUGUCGGUUGCACUUACGUUGACGGCGCAGAGGACUCGCUGAAAAAUGACUUUCAAGUAUUAAUGCCCACAAAUAAGCGGUUGCUGCUUGUGUGACAUUAAAAUCGAGUGUUAUUAUACGUGGAUGGCGUUUGUCGCGGAUGGACCGGUCUAUCGAGUUUCAGAUUAAAGACAAGUUGUCGACGCCGCCUAACAGCACUGCAUGAAGCUAUGUCAAUUGGAGGCAGCGAGUAUUGAAACGAGUUUAGUACACCGCGAGCGUCUACACCUGCAACUGUCGUUUUGAAAGUAAUAGCGGCUGCUAGCUAUUUCUAGAGUUCCGUAACAUGAAGGGGGAAGUGCUUCAGUGAACGAAGCAGAGAGGGUGCAGGCGCGCGCGGCACAGUGGAAAGCCUCGAAUGUAACGGUGAGCGAGUGGCGUUGGGCGGCAAACUAAUGCGGGAGUGGGCUGAGAUGUAGAAAUGUUGCA